rnacentral:rRNA from 1 species
UCAUUAUUGAAAUAAACNUGAUAAGUUGCUGCUGGUUCUCUAGGGAACAAUGUGCACACUUGUCAUCUUUGUAUCUUCACCUGUGCACCUUUUGUAGACCUGAUUAUCUCUCUGAAUGCUUUAUAGCACUCAGGAUUGAGGAUUGACUUCUUGUCUCUUCUUACAUUUUCAGGUCUAUGUUUCUUCAUAUACCCCAAUGUAUGUUUAUAGAAUGUAAUUAAUGGGCCUUUGUGCCUAUAAACCUUUACAACUUUCAGCAACGGAUCUCUUGGCUCUCGCAUCGAUGAAGAACGCAGCGAAAUGCGAUAAGUAAUGUGAAUUGCAGAAUUCAGUGAAUCAUCGAAUCUUUGAACGCACCUUGCGCUCCUUGGUAUUCCGAGGAGCAUGCCUGUUUGAGUGUCAUUAAUAUUAUCAACCUUUUGGGUUGGAUUUGGGUUUGCUGGCCUCUAUCAGGUCAGCUCCCCUUAAAUGCAUUAGCAGACAACAUUUUGCCAAAUGUUCAUNGGUGUGAUAAUUAUCUACGCUAUUGACAUGAAGCAAAGGUUCAGCUUCUAACUGUCCAUUGACUUGGACAACUUUAUU